rnacentral:rRNA from 1 species
AUUGAACGCUGGCGGCAGGCCUAACACAUGCAAGUCGAGCGGAUGAGGAAAGCUUGCUUUUCGAUUCAGCGGCGGACGGGUGAGUAAUGCCUAGGAACCUGCCUGUUAGUGGGGGAUAACUCGGGGAAACUCGGGCUAAUACCGCAUACGUCCUACGGGAGAAAGUGGGGGAUCUUCGGACCUCACGCUAACAGAUGAGCCUAGGUCGGAUUAGCUAGUAGGUGAGGUAAUGGCUCACCUAGGCGACGAUCCGUAACUGGUCUGAGAGGAUGAUCAGUCACACUGGAACUGGGACACGGUCCAGACUCCUACGGGAGGCAGGAGUGAGGAAUAGUGGUCAAUGGGCGCAAGCCUGAACCAGCAAUGCCGCGUGUGGGAUGACGGCGCUUUGCGUUGUAAACCACUGUCGGACGUGACGAAAGGGAGCCUUUGGCUCCUGGGACGGUACCGUCAAAGGAAGGGUCGGCUAACUACGUGCCAGCCGCCGCAGUAAAAC